AUUUUGGAAAGCUUCCGCAUUGAGAUGCUGAUAUGCUUCGCACAGAAUUAAUACGAACAGUUUUGGCCAGUGGUGGUUGAAUUCCGAUGUGAGAAAAUUUCUUUUUAGUUUCGGAAUGUUUAAAAUAGCAGUUGUUCUUGUUCUAGUGGCUUCCUGUCCUUGCCAAUAGUCAUAUAUUUCCGACAUAAAUUUUCAACUGCCCAUAACCGGUGCUUUUCCUGUUUCUCUUGCUGCUAAUAUAACGAUCUCAGAAGCCAUUAGCAAAAUGCCUUACUUCAGACAGUCUGCCCGGAAUGAUCCAUGAUUUCUUCCUAAUUGAGAGAAGGAUUCAGUCAAUUUUCCUUCAUCGACGCUGUAUCAGAUGACGUCCGUCAGAAUGAACAGAACAUCCUGCGUCUUCUUCCAUGCAAUAUUGAUUUAGAACCAUCCUAAACUGACGUCCAUCCACGGAAUAAGUUUCCUACGAUUUAUUCAGAUCCGAAUAAACGGCAGUGGGAAUAAAAUUAUCAACGAAAGUGUGUAGUUAUAGACGAAAUACGUGGGUUAUAAAUGGCAUUCUUACCCCAAUCCAAGGCUCAGAUCAACAUGACUGUCAAUAACACUGACGCAUUAAGUGUUUCCAGGAAAGCGUAAUGAUGACAAGAUUUUUACUGGAAUCCGAUUUCUACAUUGGAUGUUGACAAAUGCUCCAGUAAUGGAGGGAUGACCCGUAGAGGAUUUUUAAAGAAAACUGGAUCGUAUCCAUGUUGGACAUGGAGAAAAAUGCCCAUCUACUCAAUCCAGGAUCAGACUAGUCAGCCGUUUGCCGUUCGCCAAUAUUCGAACCCCAGACGGAGCUACCACUAUCGAAAGACUUUACCACUUGGCUGUUGUUGGAUGCGUUUUCUGAUUUCAUCCAAUUUCAUUUGA